GGAAUUUCUACAAAAAGUAUUUGGACUUUUUCUGAGUCCCUGUGGACGCGCUAAUAAAUUAUGUUGUGUCCAUUGUCAAUUUUUAUGCAUAUAGGACACAGGAAUUUGUGUCCUGUAAAUCCCGGAAUAUUAACUUUGCA